GCAGUGUAGUAUUAGUAGGUAGACUGCCGUAGAGCUGCAACAAUGAAUCAAUGACUUGAUGAUUAAAUGAUCAUCCAAUGAAUGGACAGCUAUUUUGGUAUUCAAUGAAUCAUUUUUAACAUUUAAAAAUAUCCUCUGAUUUCAGCUUCCCGAAUGUGAAUAUUUUUAAAUUCCCUUAGUCAUCCAUGAAAGGAGACCUAUUAUCUUUGUGUUUUAGGCAAAACAAGAUAUUCACGCACAUCAGCUUUGACUUCAGUAAACAGUGAUGGACAUUUUUGCCUCUUCUCUGAUUUUGCUGACCAAGCCAUUCACUGUUUGUGUUUGGUUAAAAUUGAUUUGGACCAUCAAGGACCUAACUGAUUACUUUAUUAAUCGAAACAAAACGCUUCAGAUUAAUCGACUUGGAAAAUAAUCGUUAGUUGCAGCCGUAAACUGCUACAACUUUGCUGCUCCUUGGCCUUUUACUUAAUUACUUUCUUAUUGUUGUAGCUCUUUCUACUGCAGCUGGUUUAGGCAGCAAACUAUUUUAGCCAGAAUGAAUUGCAGCCUCUGUUGGUUCCUGCCAAAUAGUGAAUAGAUUGCGUAAAAUCCAUGUGAUCCACAAGGUUUUCUUGUCAGCUAAAACAUUAGAAUCAGCUCUCAGUAUAAUACAGCACAAUCACAGUGACUGCCUCUUUGACAGUUUAUCUUUUUAAAGGCUGCACUUGUGAUCCAGCUCCUGUAUUGGCCCUCAUUAGAUUGUGAGGGUAAACCAAUGUUGCAACCUGUGAGUGUGUUGUGUAUUGUAUUUAAUCAUUCCACAGCCAGGGUUGAAAAAGGCUUCCAGCUGUGAGUAGUCAGACUGCUCUAAUGCAGCCUGCAUUCAGUGCCUUCCUUUGUUCGGGUGUGCAAGACAUUUUUAGAGCUGGAGCUCAAAAUUAGCACUGAAUCUACAUAUGGCUGCAAGGGGCGGGGGGAUGCCCAGGGAGCAAUGCUGCAAAGGCUCACACAUGGAGCUUUUUCAAAUUUUUACAUUUUACUUACAUUAUCCAAAACGUAGGAGCUUCUUAUUUUGCCCUGACAGAUCUUCAAAGAACAGCCUGUCACAUGAACACUGCUUGUUUGAUUCUAAAUGCUGACAUGCAUUGUAACGGCGGGAUUAUUUCAACCUGCUUUAUAUGUUAUUUUGCGUGGAAGUGUAAAAAAAAGGAGGAUUUUAGGUAGUAGUAAACAAACAAGGUUGUGUCUUAGAGCUCAUGAAGAACCUGUGGGUGAAACGUGGUCUUCUUGCCCUGCUGCAGCUGUAUUUGUCCUGAAGGAUGUCAACGUAGUCUGUGAUGAGAACCGCAGACAAUAAUCCUCUUAUUCUGAGCUCACUAUUCACUGAAGGUGAGACAUUUUACAUACAAGUAUUUAUUUUCCUGUGUGUGCUGCUACUUGGAGCGUUAGCAGCGCGAGCGUGUGCAGCCAGCGAGCCUCUGGCGUGGCCGUUAGCUGUCAGCUGCCGAGCGAGUGCUUUCCUUAAAGUCAAUUAAACCUGCCCGCAGAGCGCCGCGUUAGAUCAUCUCGUCCCGGGAACAUCUGCAGCCCCGAGUUAGUUCCAUUUGACUUUCAGUUACUUGCUUGUGCCUCAAACUGGUUCUCAGAGCCUCGUGUGAACAAAGACACGAUAUGAUGUCACACGCAGUCAUGCCGUCCUGCCCUGGAGAGAAGAUUUGGGUGUUUUAUUAGCCUGCUAGCCGGUGGGGAGACACUACUAAAUGUGUUGCGAAUCAGGGGCUGCGCUCUUCGAAGGAUCCAGCUGAGGUAGUCAUCAUCUUCAAAGAGCAAUUUUGGACUUCCCCGUUUACUAAUAUUCUUGUUUUGUACUGUAAUGUUUUUUAUCUCACCAAAUGAAUCAUAUAGAAAAUAUAUAUAUCCUAAAUAAAGUUAAGAUUAAGUUCAAGUAAAACAUUAAAACAGAAGCAGUAUGUUUAUGGUAGCAAAAAGAUUUCUGCUCUUUUGAAGGAUCGAUUGCCAAAAUGCGAGUCAAAGAUUCUCUAUGAUAACAGUGCCAUAGCAGGGCCAUCCAUCCAUCCAUCCAUCCAUCCAUUCCAUUCUUCAGCUUAUCCGAGGUUGGGUCGCAGGGGCAGCAGCCUAAGCAGCUCUCAACUACUUCGUCCAGCUCUUCACGGUGGAUCCCCAGGAAUUCCCAGGCCAGUUAAGAGACAUAGUCUCUCCAACAUGUCCUGUGUCUUCCCUGAGGCCCUCUACUAGUCGGAGGAGUCCAGGAGGCCAUCCUGACCAGAUGCCCCUUGCCACCUCAUCUGGCUCCUCUCAAUGCGGAGGAGCAGCCACCCUAUGGAGAAAACUCAUUUCGGCCACUUGUACCCACGAUCUUGUCCUUUCAGUCACUAACCAAAGCUUAUGACCAUAGGUGAGGUUAGGAACAUAGAUCAACCGGUAAAUUGAGAGUUUUUCUUUUCGUCUCAGCUCCAUCUUCAUUACAACGGACCGAUGCAGAGUCUGCAUCACUGCAGAUGCUGCAGCAAUCUGCUUGUCGUGUUUCAUCCUUGCCUCACUCGUGAACAAGACCUCGAGGUACUUAAACUCCUCCACUUGGGGCAGGAUCUCAUCCCAGACUUUUAGAUGGCACCCCACCCUUUUCUGGGUGAGAACCAUGGACUCGGACUUGGAGAUGCUGAUUCGCAUCCCAGCCGCUUCACACACGGCUGCGAACUGAUCCAGUGAGAGAAGGUCACGGCCCGAUGAAGCCAGCAUGACCACAUCAUCUACAAAAAAAGAGACCCAAGCCUGCAGCCAUGAUAGGAGUGCUCUGCCGUUUUUGGGGACCUACUGCAACAAUGCUAGUCAAAGAUCCUCUUUAUGAUGGGAACUCUUUGCUAUUUUGUAAGUACUUACUGCAAAAACUACCUAUUAUAUAACAGAAGCACUCUGCGUUUUUAAGGAUACACUGCAAAAAUGCUAGUCAGAGAUCCUCUAUGUGAAAAGAGCCAUAGAUUUAGGAAACACUAUACAGCCACUAUGAACAUUUCUUCCUCACUGUAGCGUUUUUCAGAAAUAAAUUAAUUAAUGAAUGAUGGCUGUUUCGUGGUUGACUAUGGCCCAUUAUUAAAAUACUGAAAGACAAGUUAUAUGUAGUGUUCUGGUCACUAGGCAUCAGUAAUGUUACAACGAUGAGACAUAAUGUUAUAUUACAUUACCUUCACACUGCAUGUAGUCAGCCAUGGCAUACAGUGGAAAAAAAGUUAUCCUCCCAUUCCGUGUGGAAGUGGUAAGUUAUUGGCCUCUUACUUUGUCCUUCUUCCCCACUCUGUUUGCAACACUUUCUUAAGUUUAGAAUAAGUAAAUUGGAGAAGCCUACUAUGUAGCUCACUAGCUUGCUAUGCUAGUGGUGGCUGUCUCUUAUGUCCCUGUAGUGAUCUCGUAGCCUGUGAAAUUUGGUGAACAGUAGGGGUGUAAAGGCUCCUAUAGAAGUGUUAUUUCAUGUCAACAUGCCUUUAAUAAUGUUAAAAACCAUAUUUAGAAGAUCACAAACAGGGUUUCUAUGCUCUAACUAUCAAAAUAUUCCGCUUGUUAAUAUUGAAGCCUACUUCGCGGGCUGGUCUGGAACCAAUUAACCACGAUAAUCGAGGGAUGACCGUAAUGAUCAGAAUCAGUCCUUUUGCUUGUGUUGUGAUUUUGUGCCCUCGUGCUCAGCGUUUAUCCUAUCACAGACCAGACGAUAGAAACAGGAGGGCGUGAUGGGAUGAAUAAGUUCUUUUUUGCUGCCAUGUUCCAAGCUCCUUGCAAUUACCAGUGGAAAAGGACUGAGUGACAUACCAUAGUGAGUCAUUUGACCCCCUCUGAUCCCCGCGUUGUUGAUGCAAGCCUUGUCCGACCCAUGUUAAUAAGCCAAAAGCCUCUUGCCAACAUGUGCUUCGUAAUCAUUUAAUCACAACACAGCUGGGUGUCUCCAUUCAGUAUUAGUGAGCAAUGCUGGUGUUGGCAAGUCAGCUGUGGCGCUAUAGGUCUUUCGUCUGUUUGCACCACGAUGCUGGAGAUGAAGUGGACUCGUGCUGACUCACACAAAAGUCACAUAUCUUUGCUACCGGAUAAGAGUAAAUGAAGUUGCUUGUUUAGUGAGUUUUAGCGGUUGAGGAUGGGGGUGAAAUUUCGGUCCAAAAACUAAUUGAAGAUUUUUUUCUGCCUUGAGGAAUUGCUUACGUCGCCAACUGUCUUAGAUGAAGGAAGCGGAUGUUUAGGUUGAUUGAAGAGACGAGAGAAAACGACAAAGUCACGAAAGAGAAGGAAAACUAAAUAAAAAAAAAAAAUACAGAAAAUUGUGGAAAGUCUGGGAGCAUUUCAGGCUAACAGCAAGUAGAACACCGUGGCGUAUAUUCCUUGUAACACGGCACUUACAUUGCUGGGUUUCACAUCCGAUUGUUGUUGGCCCCGCCUCAAAGAGAUGGGGGGCUGGCAACCAAGCGUAUUCGUAACUAGAAGUCAUGUAAAAUCUCUCAUACAUGCCUCAUACAUGCGCUGUUCUCGCAUGUGAUUUUUUUUCCAGAACACUCUAUUCCGAAGAGAGUCCAUCAUGAGGGGGGCGGAGUUCAGGAAACAACGAAAAAGCAUUGAGAAGUCACCUUUUUCAGCAUUUGCUAAUUCUGUCACGCUCGUUGAGUGAAGCAGAGUAUGGACACGCUCCAAUUUACAGGUAUGAUGGGUGCAGUGGGCUGGAUGUUGCUGCUACUUUCCCACAUCGCGUUGCCGGCGGCGUCCCAGAAGCCUCCCGGGCUCAGCGUGGGUGUGGUCAUGGGCCAGACACGCCUAGUUCCGGACCAGGAGCUCCGCCCACCUCGGCGGCCCGAGGACGCCCUGGACGUCUCUGUGGUCCCCCUGAGGAUCAACCAGACAGACCCCAAGUCUGUCAUCACACAGGUGUGUGAGCUCCUGUCGCGCUCUCGCCUCCACGGCAUUGUGUUCGCUGAUGGUACCGACCAGGAGGCCAUUGCUCAGAUCUUGGACUUCCUGUCUGUUCAAACUCAACUUCCUGUCCUGGGAGUGCAUGGCGGCUCGUCUAUGAUUAUGGCCGACAAGGACGAGAAGUCCACAUUCUUUCAGUUCGGCGCCGCUUUGCAGCAGGAGGCUCUGCUCAUGCUGGCCAUCAUGGAGGAGUACGACUGGCACGUCUUUUCUAUCGUCACAUCCAAGUUCCCUGGCUACCAGGAAUUUAUCAGCACGCUGAGGAUCACGGUGGACCACAGCUUUGUGCGCUGGGACCUUCAAAGUGUGGUCACGCUGGAUGCUGUGGACGGCGACCCCAACUCCAAAUCUCACAUCGCCCUCAAAAGGAUCCAAAGUCCCGUCAUCCUGCUGUACUGCUCCAAGGACGAGGCCGUGUACAUUCUAGAGGAGGCGCGCUCCUUGGGCCUCAUUGGAGCCGGAUACAUCUGGAUCGUGUCCAGUCUCACCACCGGAAACCCAGACUUUACACCAGAGGCCUUUCCUCUGGGAAUGAUCUCCGUGUCCUACGACGACUGGGAGUACCCGCUGGAGACACGGAUGAGGGACGGGGUGGGCAUCAUCUCGUCCGCCGCCACCGCCAUGCUGCGGGAGAAGGGAGAGCUGCCCGAAGCCCAAAGCAGCUGCUUCAGCACGCCGUCCGACCGCAGCCCGGGGAAGCUGCCGCCCAGCGCCCUGCGCAGACACAUGAUGCACGUGUGGAACGAGGGCAGAGAUCUGUCCUUCACCCCGGACGGUUACCAGGCCAACCCCAAGUUGGUGGUCAUCGUGUUGAACAGCGAAAGGACAUGGGAGAAGAUGGGCCGCUGGGAGAACGGGACGCUGUCCUUGAUGUUCCCCGUGUGGCCGCGCUACAACUCGCACGGCGACGAGGACGCCGACGAGAACCACUUGUCCAUCGUCACGCUGGAGGAGAAGCCCUUUGUCAUCGUGGACAACGUGGACAUCCUCACCGGAACCUGCAUGAGGAACUCGGUGCCCUGCCGCAAGCACGUCAAAGAUAACAGCACGUCAGGAGGCUCCUACAUCAAGCAGUGCUGCAAGGGCUUCUGCAUUGACAUCCUGAAGAAGAUUGCCAGGAACGUCAAGUUCACCUACGACCUCUACCUGGUGACCAAUGGCAAACACGGCAAGAAGAUCAAUAACGUGUGGAACGGCAUGGUGGGAGAGGUGGUGUACAAGAAAGCCGCCAUGGCGGUUGGCUCGUUGACCAUCAACGAGGAGAGGUCGGAGGUCAUCGACUUUUCCGUGCCCUUUGUGGAGACGGGCAUCAGCGUGAUGGUGUCGCGUAGCAACGGCACCGUCUCUCCCUCUGCAUUCCUCGAGCCCUUCAGCGCCUCUGUUUGGGUGAUGAUGUUUGUGAUGCUGCUCAUCGUCACGGCCAUCGCCGUCUUCCUUUUUGAGUUUGUGUCUCCGCUGGGCUUCAACCGCAACUUGGCCCAAGGCAAAGAUCCUCAUGGUCCAUCAUUCACCAUCGGUAAGGCCAUCUGGCUGCUGUGGGGUCUGGUGUUCAACAACUCAGUACCUGUCCAGAACCCAAAGGGCACCACCAGUAAGUUCAUCGUGUCGGUGUGGGCCUUCUUCGCUGUCAUCUUCUUGGCUUCGUACACCGCCAACCUGGCCGCCUUCAUGAUUCAGGAAGAGUUUGUGGACCAGGUCACUGGGCUCUCCGACAAGAAGUUCCAGAGUCCCUACUCCUAUUCCCCGCCCUUCCGCUUCGGAACGGUUCCCAACGGCAGCACAGAGCGCAACAUCCGCAAGAACUACCCAGACAUGCACCAGUACAUGACCAAGUACCACCAGAACGGCGUGCAGGACGCUCUGGUCAGCCUCAAGACCGGCAAACUGGACGCCUUCAUCUACGACGCCGCCGUGCUCAACUACAUGGCGGGCCGCGACGACGGCUGCAAGUUGGUCACCAUCGGCAGCGGCUACAUCUUCGCCACCACGGGAUACGGCAUUGCGCUGCAGAAAGGAUCCUACUGGAAGCGUCUGGUGGACCUGGCCAUCCUCGGCAUCAUCGGAGACGGCGAGAUGGAGGAGCUGGAGGCCCAGUGGCUGACGGGGAUCUGCCAUAACGAGAAGAACGAGGUGAUGUCCAGCCAACUGGACGUGGACAACAUGGCGGGUGUCUUCUACAUGCUGGCCACUGCCAUGGGCUUGUCCAUCCUCACCUUCAUCUCUGAGCACCUCUUCUACUGGCGCCUGCGCUACUGCUUCACCGGUGUCUGCUCGGGGCGGCCCGGCCUCCUCUUCACCAUCAGCAGGGGCAUCUGGAGCUGCAUCCACGGCGUUCACAUCGACAUGAAGAAGAAGGCUCCCGAGCUGGACUUCAGUCCUCAGGCCAACAUGCUGCACCUGCUCAAGUCAGCCAAGUCCAUCGCCAUGUCGUCGCCUAAACGCAACACAGUGCUGCUGCAGCCCAGCAUCCUGGACGUGAUGGCAGGCAAAGGUAACUCGCUGCAUCUGCCUCAAAAGGGUCCUGGUCUCUAUAGCAACGCCACCGGUCCACAGGGUUUCCUGUCAAUGUCCGGCCGCCACAAAAACCUCCUGAACAACGCGGCACCCUUUCCCGCCCAGGCUAAAGGCCCCGCCCACCAGACCAGCCCCAGCAAGCCCCAGCUGUCAAUCACCAACGACAACGGAAAGACCCGCCUCGCCGGGCCUGCCUGUCCACCAUCGAAACCUCGCGCCCUUUGGAAGAAAAGCGUGGAAACACUGAAGACCCAACCUUCCGUGGUGGCGCCGGGACCUGGCCCGAGCCCGACAGCGGCACCUGGACCUCCGGCCAUGAAGAGCCAGCGCUACCUUCCCGAAGAGCCUCCGCACUCUGACAUCUCGGAGUGCUCCAGCCGACCGCCGUCGCACAAAGACUCAGACUCCAUGGCGGCGAGGGGUGGGUUCAAGCCCAUCAAUCAGCUGAGGAAGAGGGGAGGCGGAGGAGGAGGAUCCAAGAUUUACUCCAUAGACUCGGACCAGGCCAGCCUCCAGUCCGCUCCCCCAUACCAGCGAGAGAGCCAAGGGGGCAGUGACGACCACACGUACCCGCCCGACCUGUUCCCCCCAGACAGCACAUACUCGCACAAAGCGGACACGCCCAUCCUGCAGCUGAGCGCCACCUUGCUGCACCACAGUCACAGCGCCGAGGCCGACCUGCACUCCAUGAAGGACAAAAAGUACAGCACCUACACGCAUAGCAGUGUAAAGGACAAGUCCGGCGGUUCCUUCGACGCCCAGGGCUCGGGGGUGAGCUCGCAGGGCACCCGCCCAGGCCACUGCCGCUCAUGCCUGACCAAGCUGAGCGGCUACUCGGGCCUCUACACAGUGCGCCCCCCGCAGGCCCGCUGCGACGCCUGCGCCCACCUGGGCAACCUGUAUGACAUCAGCGAGGACCACCUGCACUACUCGCACGGCGCCGACAUGUUCGCCCACUUCCUGCCCCAGAGCCAGCUGGGCCUGGUGGGCGAGGGGGACGACCUGGUCAGCCACUUUGAGCCCACGCCGUCAUCACCGUCCGCCCUUCCCGCCUCCUCAUCAGCGCAGCACCUGCAGCUGAGUCGCCAGCACUCCUACGAGAACGUGGUUCCCGACGGCGUUCCUGAGCGGCAGCCCCACCUGCGCGGCCUGAGCCUACCUGACAGGGAGCGGGAGCUGACCCUAGACGAGGGGGCAUAUGCUAACGUCCUCACCAUGCGCUCUGACCGCCCGUUCAGCGGCCGCAGUCCACCCUCACCAUCCCCCUCCCACCAUCACAGUUUGGAUGCCCCCAUGCCCCUCCCCCGCCGCUCCAAGAGCCUCUUCCCCGAUCGCCCCUCCCACAAUCCCUUCCUGCAGUCGGCUCCGGGCACGGCGCAGCGUGAGCCCGCCUCCCAGAGCGCCCCGCGCAUGUCGCAGAGAAGCUCCGCCCAUGAGCUCUACAAGCAGCGCAUGCCGCUGUCGUUCACCCUCGGCAACCACGGCACCCACCACGCCAACCAGCACCAUGUUGACCCGCAGGUCUUCUACCCUCAACAUGAGCCCCCGGUGGUGGCCUACAUGGUCCCGCCCGCCGCCGCCCAGCCCAUGAGCUAUGUGACGGCGCCGCGAGCUUCCAGCGCCGGCGGGAACAGACCCCGCCUCUACCGGCGCAUGCCUAGUAUCGAGUCUGAUGUGUGAGACUCGCACUUCCUGUCACUGACACGCGCAUCUCCAAGAAGGCGGGGUGUUUGAACGAAUCCCCCCCCCCAGCUUCUCUGAGUCACGGGGAGCCGCCCAGCCCUGCACUUUUUUUUGCUGUGUGUGCACCUUCAACCCUCUGCAGCCAACAUGUGUCUUCUCUGAGCACACACGGAGCCACGCAGGACUCGAACCUGCGGGCAGACUCCAUGUGGCAGCCUGGUUGGCAGAGUCUCCACAUCCCAACACACGCACACACACACACACACUGUGUACACACACAGGGAUAGACUGUUUGAUAAUGUUGAUGUCAGCCAAUUGAACAUUCCAAAAAAGGGGGGGUGGUCCCUAAGUGGCCGCCAAUGAAAUCCUCUCAGGAUGAGAGUGUGCGUUCUGAGUGUUCCAAGGAGGACACACACACACACACACACACACACACACACACACAUAAUUUAGCAUCCUAGCUUCCUUCCUCUCUUAGCUCCUAGCCUUCAGGUCACACACUGCAUGCUUCCUAGGCCUUGACCUACGCUCACACACUGAUGCAGGGUCAUAUGCGCACGCACACACACACACACACAUGCACAGCAGUGGAGGAUGGUCCCUUACAGUGUGUGUGGGUGUGUGUGUGUGUGUGUGUGUGUGUUGAUGCUCUUUGUGCACUUUGUACAUUUUAUAACUUGCCACCAAACACAAACCAAAAAAACACUUUUUUUAUACUCAGAAUUCACUGGAUGAUUUGAUGUCUUCUCUUUUGAUUCUUUCUCUUCUUUGGUUCCAGCGCCUUGUGAGGUCACGAGUGUUAGAUAACGAGUACAGUGUCAUAGAUAUUGGAUCUUAUUCCUAGCCCCACCCACUUCCUCUUCCUUUAGCGGCUUCAUGCUGUCAUGUUAGAGUAGAUUAGCGGUGGAUUGAAGGUCAGUCGUGCACAUUGUUUACUUUGGAUGGCGACUGGGUUCCAGAAGAUCAACGCAUGCCUGUCAACAUUUGCAUUUGGCAAUAAGGGAGAUUUUUGGAAAAAUAAGGAAAUUUCUGGUCUUUCCAUCAGAAUUUUCAACAGCAUCCCAGGAAAAAUGAUCCAGGUUUUGGGGUGGGGGGGGAGAUCUGGUGUAAAGACCCGACCGCCUACUGUGGUGCAACCAUGUUAUUUUACUGGUGUGCUUUUAUCUUGAAGGCCUACGGUACAGGAUGUGUUAUGCCGAUGUUGCCAGGCAGACUGGAAGCAGCGCUGCUCAGGCAGGGAAAAAUACCAGAAACUACGUAAAAACAAAACACGAAGAGAAAAAUAGGGUACUUUUCCCAAGUGAAACGGGAGGGUGGACAGGUAUGGAUCAACGCACAACAUUCAUUUUGAUGGCGCACUGAGGGGUCACGGGUGUCGCAUUGAGAAUUUACAAGCUGUGUCCCACCCGAGGGUGCGCGGUAUUUCAUCUUAUCUUACGAAGUGGCUGCACAGAAUCGGAGCGCUGAGCCGGUUUGAGUUAUAUGCACAAUAUCAGGUUGCAAUAUUUCUAUUUAUGUACAGAGACUUUUUUGUUUGUUAUUUAGUUUUUCUUCCAAAUAUUUGGUUUGAUGAGUUGGAUUAGAAUGGUACCAAGUGGCGUCUUCAUUAGGUAAACAGCUUGUUAUUUUUCAGAUGAUAGAAAAAAAACAGCAAACUGGCAUGUUUUUGAUUCUUCUGUGACUUUUUUUUGUUUUUAAUUUGGAUUUUAAGAUUUUUAUUCCACCCCCCAGCCCCCGCUGUGAUGUGGUAAAGUAGAUCUGCGUCGUCGGGCGGCCUUUUCGGCAUCAAUGAGGAGUCCGGUUUAAGCGGUUCCGAGUACGCCCACCGACUUGUCUUUCACUACGAGUCUGUGCUGUUUUACCUCCCUCUGUGUGCAAGUGCGUGCGUGUGUGUGUAGGUGCGUGCGUGUGUGUGUGUGUUUUACACUGAGCAGGCAUUUAUAUAAGACAAUGGAUGAAGAGUGUGUGUGUGCGUGCUUGUAUUUUUCUGUUCUCCCUUCCCUUUAUCCCACUCAAAACUUUUGACCCAUCUCAUGUAACACACACACACACGCACACACAACCAGAGUAGUGUGUGCGUGUGUGUUGUGUGCAUGAGUUUUGUAUCAUCACUGGAGAUUUUUACAGUUUUUUAAAACUUGCAUGACCGUGCUCGUGCUUCUGGUGGUUUCUCUUUUUGCUGCAGCGCCUCCCCGAAGGGUCACGUGACCGUGUCGCACACACCAACGCCGCACACACACAGACACACAGAAACACACACUGAUGCUGGACUGGAGCUGGAACCCCUCCCCCGCAGGACGGUGCAAUGAGGGAAAUGACGUUUCCGAGUGGGCACGGUAUGUCGGGCCCCAAACGUCCACGAGCGGUGUGGUGGUGGGUGGUGGUGGGUGGUGUGUGUGUGUGCGUGUGUGCGCAUUGGUGUGUUUUUCUUUGGGUCUGUGCUGUGUGCUCACUUGUGUAUAAGUUCAGGGGUUUCUAAGCUACUAGUUGUGUUGUACAUAAAACUUGUCACUCAGUACCUCUGUACAAUGUGUAAAUAAGUAAAGGUUACAUUUUUCUACUCUUCCGCCUCUUUCAUUGGACUUUGUGUGCUGUGGAAGUAUUUCAAAGAGGUCGUCCACAAAUACUCCGACUGUAUCAUCUUCUGUCAUGUUCACUACUUUUAUCACUGAGGCUCUUUGUAGGUCAUCCUGUUUGGAACACAUGAUGCCGCACCAACCUCCUGCUACCUGGCAACCAUGAAGGCAACACGCAGAGGAGGUGCAAUCCAUGCUGACAUGGUCCAUCUGCUUGCGUUCCACUAAACGAGGGACUCAAGACGGCCACGAACCAGUUAACCUCGAAUUUUUUCCUUCUAAACUU